CUUUUGUGUAAAACACUAAAGGGCAUAGCCGGAUAAGAAGGACGAAUCGGCCCCCGCUGAAUUUUUUGUCGGUACUUC